rnacentral:lncRNA from 13 species
CCCACCUGCCAAUCCUCCAUCACACAGAGUCCAACCCUGGCCCUGGCACAGAUUGAGAAUGUGGAGCUUGGGAGCUGCCAGGGUGCCCUGCACAGCCUGUCUGGCCUGGCCGUUUCCCAGGAAAGUGGCAGGGAGAGAAAGAGAGGCAGGUGGUGGCUGAAUCCCUGUGAUCGCUAGCAAGAAACCCGCGAGUAGGUUAGCCAGCCAGCGACUGAGCCAGAGUACUGACCCCAUCGCGCCUGUCACCCAGCACUUAGGGAGGCUGAGGUGGUUGGAUCACCUGAGAUCAGGAGUUUGAGACCAGCCUGGCCAACAUGGCGAAACCCCAUCUCUACUAAAAAUACAAAAAUUAGCUGGGUGUGGGAGCGGACGACUGUAAUUCCAGCUACUCAGGAGGCUGAGGCAGGAGAAUCAUUUGAACCUGGGAGGCAGAGACUGCAGUGAGCCGAGAUUGCACCACUGCACUCCAGCCUCAGUAAUGGAAUGAGACUGUCUCAAAAUCAAAAGCAAAAAAGAGUAUUGCCCCAGAGGGCUGGGGAAGGGGCACCAGGACUGUGACCAUGUUCACACAUCAGGUCCAGUUCAUGGAUGUGGAGCGGCUGUCCCCUCUCUGCGUGCCUGCAUGAUCAUUCGCUGUGCUCAGUCCAGCUGGGAAGGAGGAGGGUUCAUUCAGUCUAUACUAGCUGUACACAUGUUGUGCAUUUAGCCACAGGUGCGGUGCCACGGGGAGCAUCGAGGAAAGACACAGUCUCUGCUCUCAGAGGGGAAUGAGCUGGCGAAAGAUGCUGCAUUGUCAAGGCAGCCCUCUUCUCCUCUGCCUGAGCUGUUGACAACCAGGACUUCCCUCUGCCCAGCCCUUCCCAUGGUCAGAAACAGCACCCAGCACCGCCAUGCAUUCUCUCUCAGUCUGCACCGCCAAGCUACUGGCAGAAAACCAAAGCCUUCUUCCCAGCGUGGCCGCCCUCAGCCCAUCCCCACUAGCCGCUGACUUGGCAGGCGGGGACCCCUCCCCUGGAGAGCAGCAAGACUCCAUGCGUUAUAUUUCCAAACUGGGACACGCUGGAAAUCCUGAGGGGCUGGGUUGUCACCCUCCCUGGGAGUCUGCGCACUGCACUUGCCGUGGUGCUCUCCCUCCCUCGUCACAGAAUAAUUGCUGAACAGAUUGCAUCGGAAACAGGAUUCCUGGAUUAUGGAGUCAUGAUUCUAAAUGGCUGUUUAACUGUGUUUGCCUUCAUCUUUAAAAAAAAAAUGUUAAAAUUGAAGUAAGUGAGUUAAAUGCAAAGGAAAUGAGCACAGCACCCAUUGUCCCGUGGAGGACCGAAUCGUGCAGCGCGGGAAGAAGAGGCCGGGAGGUCUCAGGGCCACUGGUGACUGCCUGCCGGCUUUCCGGACUUGCUCCCCACUUGUCCGGCACAGUAUUCCUCAUUGUCUGCCCCAUUUUAUACAUGAGAAAAGGAGAGCCCAGAGAGUUCAAAUAACUGGGCCAAGGUCACACAGCAUUGGGACUGAAAGACUAGUUGGU